AUAAAACUAUUUUAAAAUCGUAAUAAACAAACAAUGGCUAUUAGUUAACCAUGUAGACAAAUUGGUUUUAUUUCGUCUAAGAACAUACGAGUUUAAUCGUUCUACGAGUUAUUGUCAGAAAAGACAACCAUAUACAAACGUCAUAAUCCCUUUUGAGCUUGUACAUACGUCUGUAAUUUAAUUUUCGAUAAAAACAUAAUAAUCCUCUUUUACGUCG